CUCACAGUUGUUGCACUUUGCCUCUCUCCAGUGCACAGAAUCACUCUCCGCACCAUGCCACAGCUGCUUGGGAAUGGGGGAGGGAUGGUGUUUGUGAUUCAAGACUGUUUUUCCUACCUCUUCAAUGCCUCUUUCAGCAAUAUGAAGUUAAAACCAGACCACUUUCAUUACAUCGCCACUGCGAAUACCACCUGUACUGUGUCAAGUACAAAAAAAACUCCAGACUUGGCCCAGUCCGGAGGCACAAGCCCACUUGCGCCAGCAGCGCGCCUCAGCAAGACAGCAGAAGCAGGAAGAGAGCCGGCCGGAAGACACUUACCCUGGCCGGAAGACAUGUACCCCUGAGGAUCGCGAGAGGCCAUCCGGUUGCUGCGUAGCAGUCCCGUCAGACUGGAACACUUCCUGUUUACAGGACACUGUAAAACCCCUGCUCAGCACUCAUUUGGUGCUGACGCCAUUUUAGGUCUCAUACCGUCUGCACCCAGGCGCCCAAUAAAACAGCAUGUUGCUCCACAC
ensembl:lncRNA novel transcript